rnacentral:rRNA from 1 species
UGCGUAGGUGGUAUGGCAAGUCAGAAGUGAAAACCCAGGGCUUAACUCUGGGACUGCUUUUGAAACUGUCAGACUGGAGUGCAGGAGAGGUAAGCGGAAUUCCUAGUGUGGCGGUGAAAUGCGUAGAUAUUAGGAGGAACAUCAGUGGCGAAGGCGGCUUACUGGACUGAGACUGACACUGAGGCACGAAAGCGUGGGAGCAAACA